rnacentral:misc_RNA from 1 species
ACAACCAAAGCUUCAGAUUCUUCAAGCUACUCUUCUUGUUCUUCAUCUGCAAGUUGCUCUUCAUGUUCUUCAUCUUCAAGUUGUUGCCUUACUUUUAUAUCUUCAAAAGAUCUUAAUAUCGCGUCCAACUCUGCUUUUAAUUGCAACAUAGAUUUUGUCUUCCAUGCUUUAAGUUUUAUUUUCUUAACUCGUUGUUGAAUCUGAUAUUCCUUCUUCCAUAUUUCAAGUUCUCUC